rnacentral:rRNA from 1 species
UACGUAGGGGCCGAGCGUUGUCCGGAGUUAUUGGGCGUAAAGCGCGCGCAGGCGGCCUCGCGCGCCCGACGUGAAAGCCCCCGGCUUAACCGGGGAGGGUCGUUGGGGACGGCGGGGCUUGAGGGCGGGAGAGGUCGGUGGAAUUCCCGGUGUAGUGGUGAAAUGCGUAGAGAUCGGGAGGAACACCUGUGGCGAAGGCGGCCGACUGGGCCGACCCUGACGCUGAGGCGCGAAGGCGUGAGGAGCGAACGGG